GCAAAAAUGUGACAAGUUGCCUCUUGGCUACCACCAAACUCUGUUCUCAGACCACAGGUACCAUACUUGGCUACAACGUGACUGGACUCAUACAAAUGUGAAGUCCAACGUCCCUGCCCUCGGUCAACAGUACGGCUCUUGGCUUAUCCCAGCAUUUCUGUGCUUGAAGAUCAUAUGGCCCUGGGCUUGAGCUUGCUGAAGGAUUGUUGCGAUUCACCAUUAUCCAGGGCUAACCACAGGGCCCUGGUGGGAAGCUUUUCCUGCAGCAGAAUUGAAGGAAGAAGACAGGAGAAGGUGGUGGCAGCCCUGGCAGGCCGUCAAAGCCCCGAUCACCCUGCACAAAGAGACACCGCCUGAACCCCGAAUCCUCGACCCAACCG